rnacentral:tRNA from 1 species
GGCACUGUAGCUAAGUGGUUAGAGCACUGGCCCUGCACACCAGAGGUGGCGAGUUCGAGCCUUGCCUGGGCGU